rnacentral:lncRNA from 1 species
GGGUCACCGCAGCACGUCCAGGCCGCCGCGGGUGCCGCUGGGGCCGCCGGAUUCCGAGAGCGGCGCCGGGCUCUUUCGGGCCCACGACGGCCCCGACCGUCCUGAGGAAACCGCUGCCGCCGAGGAAAGGCCGCAAAAACUGUUCCGCCCGGAAGGGAGAAGAGCUGCGGGGCGAAGCCAGGGCUCGCAGGGGGCAGCGGCAGGCUGCUCGCGUUCGGCCUCGUCCACUCGGCCCGCGGAGAGCGCGGGGGGCGCUGGGAACCGCAGUCACGCAUGCGCCGCCUGCCACCGAGCGCCGCGGGGCCCGCGCGAGGCGUCCUGGCGGGCGAGGGGCUGGGGGAGGGGGGGGGGGCCGUGCGGUGGACUCUCGCGAGAGCGCGCGGCGCGGUGACUCGUCGCUGAGGGACUUUAAGAUUGUAGAGGGGCGCGGAGGGUCCUCCCCGGGGCGGAGGGACACAGAGGGAUUCUAGGGAACCUGCCGUCGCGAGUCCCGCUUCAGGCGGAGAAUCUAGGCGGCGGCGGGGCCUCCCUGAGGCGGAGGAGUCGGCACCGGGGCCUGGCUGCCGGGGAAGGAGAGCACGGGAGCGGGGACUCCUGUGUCUGGCGGAGGGACACGGCGUUCCGGUGGAGGGAUCUGUUCCUUGUACCUGGUCCAGGGUUGCGGUCGGGGAUGGAGCGGUUACCCCGACCCUGCGGGACCUUCUUCCUCUGGCGGAGGUGCACGGCGCGGCGUGGUGUUUUUCUGGCGGAAGUAUCUGUGCGUGGCCCCAGGCCCUUCCCGGCGCGGUCUCAUCUGGGGCCACUUGUUGGCCCUCGCGUUGGGGAGGUUCAUGUGGUGCAUCCUGAUGAGAAGGGGGGUCACAGGGGUCUCGGGGCCAGGGUUCAGCCAGCCAGGCCCCAGCUUGCUCUCUUCUGGUGCUGCCCCUGUCCCUGAAUUCAUAGACCCGGCUUUCCCUCUCUUGAGCACCUACUAUGUGCCAGGCUGCGCUUUGCGCAUGUAGCAGAGGCAACAGUGUCACCUGGGAAGCUGGUUUCCCCCAAAGGAACUCUUGUCUGUCCGUUGUUGCAGAGCCAGCGCAUGAGACCAAGUAUAAAACACACAGACCCGCAGCUUUGGGAACAGGCUGAUGGCCCCUGCACAGUCUAGUCACAAGGCAUUGACCAAGAAAGUAAUGACUAACUGCCCAUCUGAGACUGCGCAUGAUUCACAAGAAUGUUUCUUUGUUUUGUUUUUUGAGACAGUCUUGGUCUGUCUCCCAGGCUGGAGUGCAGUGAUGUUGGUUCGCUGUAGCCUCUGCCUCCUGAGUAGCUGGGACUACAGGCGUGUGCCACCGCACCUGGCUAAUUUUUGUAUUUUUAGUAGAGAUGAUGUUUGACUAUGUUGGCCAGGAUGGUCUCGAACUCCUGACCUCAAGUGAUCCACCUGCCUCGGCCUCCCAAAUUGCUGGGGUUACAAGUAUGAGCCACCGCUCCUGGCCCACAAGAAUGUUUUGAUCAUUAUUUCUCCUAAUUUUCCUUAAAAUCCCUGGAUCUAGAGGCACAACUGAGAAAGGUGGUCUUUGAAUGCUAGUGCACUGCCUUUUGCAGGUUGCUGGUUUCUCGAAUAAAGCUAACUUUGCUUUCACCAAAGCUUGUCUUUUGAGUUUUUGGCUUUCAGGCGACGAGUGGCCUGGACACCAGUUCGGCUACAUGUAUGUCAGUGGGCAAAACAAAAAUCCUUAUUCUGGGAGGUAGAUAGCUUAUUAGAAAACACAACCUAAUCACUUGUUUCCCAAAUGUUAAAAAUUGAGCCAAUUUUAGCCCCAGAAGCUUAGGGUACCAUGUACAUAACAGGCAUUACCUGAGGGUGGGGCAGAGAGAAUCAGUGGGGUACCUCGUAUAUGCCAGGGGUUGUAUCAGCAUCCUUACACAGCUCAUUUUUCUUUUUAAAUAAUACUUAUUGAGGACCUAUUUAAUGCCAGAUAUGGUGGUAGGUAGGGAGCAAAAGCAGGAUUCCCCUCCCAUUAUUGAGUUUUCAGUCUGGUGGGAGAGGCAGGAAUUAAAUAAGUAAUCCACAAACUCAAGUACAAUUCUAAGGGAGAUGGGUGCCACCAAGAAGAGACAUGGUGCUGAGAACCUAUGUCUGUCAGAGGGAUUUGAUCUAUUUGGGAGGUCUGGAAAGGUUUUUUUGAAGAAGCAGUGCUAGGGGUGAGAUCCAAAGGAGAAGAGCUAAUUAGGCAAAGCCUAGUCCUCACAAAAAUCCUAUAAACCAGAUAUGAUUACCUUCAUUUUAGAGUUUAGGGCAUUGAGACUUGAGCAAGGUGAUGUCACUGCCCAAGGUUACAUCAGAUUAAAUGGCAACCCAGGAUUCAGAUUCAAAUAAGAGUAGGGUUCUUUAUAUUCUCCUUGGGCUAUUUGGUGGUUUUAGGAGAGGCAAGUAUCACAAACAGCUUGGGGACAUGAGGGAGCAGGAAUCACAAACUUGAAAGCCUGCAGAGCUCAGGCAGAUAGCAUAGAGUGAAGUAGGGCAGAGUGUAAGACAAUAGGGGAUGGUGGGGAGUGUGGUGAGCUGAAGGCCACAUUUCCUGUCUAAAGGAAGCAGCCACUAGUUCCAGUCUCUUGUUGCCAUGCAGGAUUACAGACCAAGCCCUGCUGGAUCUUCUGAUGAUAUUAUUUUGAGGGCUUGGCGCGGUGGCUCACGCCUGUAAUUGCAGCACUUAGGGAGGCCGAGGUGGGCAGAUCACAAGGUCAGGAGAUCGAGACCAUCCUGGCUAACAUGGCGAAACCCUGUCUCUACUAAAAAUACAAAAAAUUAGCUGGGCGUGGUGGUGGGCGCCUGUAGUCCCAGCUACUCUGGAGGCUGAGGCAGGAGAAUAGCGUGAACCCGGGAGGUGGAGCUUGCAGUGAGCCGAGAUCGCGCUACUGCACUCUAGCCUGGGCAACAGAGCGAGACUCCUUCUCAAAAAACAGGCUAGAGUGCAGUGGUGCAAUCAUAGCCCACUGCAGCUGGGACUGCAGACACAUGCCACUACCCGGCUAAUUUUUAUAUAUUUUUUUCAGAGACAGGGUCUCACUAUGUUGCCCAGGCUGGUCUGAAACUCCUGAGCUCAAGUGAUCAGCCUGCCUUGACCUCCCGAAGUGCUGGAAUUACAGGCGUGAGCCCCUGCGCCCGGCCUAGAUCUUCUGAUUUCUAAAAAGAAGCUGGCAGUAUUUUUAGGUGAAGUUAUCACACUUCUAAAUAAUUGGCAGUUACAUGAGUUUGCCUCACUAUAAUGUUAACUCAGUGAAGCAGGACAUUUUAUGUUUUUAACCACUGUGUACUGGGAGCUUAUAAAGUGCCUUACGCAUAGUAAGCACUCAACCUCAUCUGUGGUAUGUAGCCUCUGAGCGAUUCCUCCCUUGUGCGCAUGGUUUCACAGUUUUUGAAGCAGUUUUAUGGUCAUUAUUUUAUCCACCAGUUUUUCAGCUGGCACCUCAUUUGUCCUGAUGCGGCUGCUGCAGGAAAAGUCCCCGGAAAGGCUCCCCAGGGAAAUAUUUAGUUGUGCCUUCCUUUUGUACCUUUCCGCCCUCUUUGUAUUUUACAUUUUCUCCAUCCUAAUGUGCCUGGCAUUAUACCUUGGCUCCCUCUAGUUAUCCAGCCCAUUUUAUAUUUAAUAUUUUGUUGUUGCUUUGGUUCUCACCUAGACUUUAUGUAUUGACCUGGGGCCCAUGACCACACUUAGGUAUACUUUCACUUACUCUUGGCCCAGCCCCUGCUCCCAGCUGCUUGUCAGGGAAAAGUGCAUGAAAAGGUUUCAUUUCUUAGAAAUUGCUGUCCUGAGACAUCUUGCGAAAGUGAUCAUCCCUGGACAUCUGAACUUCCUACUCCAUCACAUGGACUUGAGCAAGAGAAAAAUCUCAGGUCUGCAUGGGGCAUUUAGAACCUUGCCUCCUGAAAGCUCCUCAGGGUGCAGAGGGAAUCAGGUUUGCUCUUUAUUAUUUCUUAGGUGCAGGAUCAUAAGUUGUUCAGGAAUUGUUACAAUUUUGUGGUAGCCUCUCAGUAACACACACAAGUGCGCACACACAGACUCAUAUAUACGCAUAUGUCUGUGUAUAUAUAUAUAUUUUUUGCAUAUGUAUAUAUUUAAUGGAAAAUUUCGAACAUAAAAUAGAAUCCUCACGUUUCUGUCCUCCAGCUUUAACAAUGAGCAAUUCAUGGCCAAUCUUGUCUCACCUGCUCUGAUCCUGGAUUAUUUUGAAGCAAAUUCUGGACAUGAUAUUUUUUAUUUGAAACUAUCAGAAUGUAUUGUGUAAAGACAGGAACUCUUUUUUUUUUUUUUUUUUUUGAGACAGAGUCUUGCUCUGUCGCCCAGGCUGGAGUGCAGUGAUGCGAUCGCGGCUCACUGUAACCUCCACCUCCCAGUUUUAAGUGAGUCUCCUGCUUCAGCCUCCCGAGUACCUGGGAGUAUAAGCGUGCACCACCACUCCAAGGUAACUUUUUGUCUCUAGUAGAGGUAGGUUUCGCCUUGUUGGCCAGGUUGGUCCUGAACUCCUGGCCUCAAGUGAUCCGACUGCUUCAGCCUCCCAAAGUGCUGUGCCUGGCCAGGAACUCUUAUUUUAAACAUAGCUUCAAUAUCAUCAUAAGCUCUUCUCAAUUGUAUCAACAAUUCCUUAAUACCAUUUAAAGAAACAGCGUGCCAGGUUAUUUCUCAUUUCUUUUAUUUUCUUUUCCUUUCUUUCUCUUUUCCUUCCUUCCUUCCUUCCUUCCUUCCUUCCUUCCUUCCUUCCUUCCUUCCUUCCUUCCCUCCAUCACCCAAGCUGGGGUGCAGUGGUGCAGUCUUGACUCACUGCAGCCUCCACAUCUCAGGUUCAAGAGAGUCUCAUGCCUCAGCCUCCCGAGUAGCUGGGAUUAUAGAUGUGUAUCACCAUGCCUGGCUAAUUUUUGUAUUUUUUUGUUUUUUUAGUAGAGACAGGGUUUCACCAUGUUGGCCAACUGGUCUCAGACUUCUGGCCUCAAGUGAUUCACCCACCUUGGCCUCCGUAAGUGCUUGGAUUACAGGUGUGAGCCACCGUGCCCAGCCUUUUCAUUUCUUUUAUGCCAAAUCUGAUCUACUUCUUAAAAAUUGAAAAGUAGAAAUGAGAAGAUUGGGUAUGUGUGUACUGGUGUCUACUUCAGACAUAGUAUUAAUAUUUUCAAAUAUGAUUCCUUAACUAAGCUACAUGCCUCUUUAUAAAGCAUCAUGCCAGGCACUAAUGGGAUAGGCAGAUACAUAAGACAUGACCAUUUUACUUAAAGUGUUACAGUAAAGUGGAAAAAAUUUGAGACGGUGUCUUGCUCUGUCCUCAGAUGAUAUCCUCAGGCAAUUGAUUCCCCUCUAUUUUCAGCUCUGUUUUUUCCUGAAUCAACCUUAUUUUCAGUAGGUUCUCCCCAUGUAGUAGCUGCUGGUCUUCUGAAAGAGAGUACACUUCCCUGAACCCCCAGUAGUUUCAGCAAAUGUCCUGGGGCUGACCCUCAUAGGGUUGACUUGGGUCAUGUGCCCAUCCUGAACCAAUCACUGUGACCAGGGAGAGGGAAUUCCUGAUUGGUGAGGCCUGGGUCACAUGUCCACUCUGGAGCUGCGGUGUGUUGUCAGCUCUUUCUGAGCCGCCUGGUCCAAGAGUUUGGAAGGGUUUUUUUUUUUUUUUUUUUCCUAAAGAAAAAUUGAGUGGUCCAUUUUUCCUAAAGAAAAAUUUUCCUAAAGAAAAAUUGCUACUACCAGAAGAAGGGAUAAAGGAUGCUAUACAGGUAAAACGAAGGGAUGUUCACUUUCCCUCAAGGCCCUAGUAGAAGAGGUGUCAUAAAACCGUACAUAAUUCCAUAUGAUUAUAUCAGGCAAUUAGAGCUGUCAAUUCAGAUGUUUUGGAAGUGGUCAAAACAAACUUCAUGGAUGAGACUGAAAUUUAGUUAAGCUUGAGGAAUGGGCAGGAAUUGAUAAGAGGAGUUCUAGAGGUGGGCAGGACUAGAGUACAUUCAAUGGACCAGGGUGAACUGAGUGGGUAGUUGGUGAAGGGAGAGAGGUUGCAAAUGCCAGAACUUUGAUUACCUUGAUAGGAUAACCUUGGCCAAGAGAGUUGCAAGCAAACCUUUUGACAAAAUUUGCUUGAGCCAGCCUGUGGUCUAAUCCUUAUUCUUGUCUGUGAUGCAUGGAUAGCCCUUUGGGUUCUAGCUGGCCUUUGUCUCUGGAGUUCUGGGAACACCUCUUACUGACCUCAUUGCCUACUUUGUGAUGAGGCUUCUAGUUAUUGGAAAAGUCUAAUGUCCAUGUAUGCCCUCCUGUGACCAAUCCGGUUCACCCCUUGUAGUUGAUUGUGCCAAGUCAUUUUAGCCUGGGACACAGAAAAUAUGCUGCAGGCCUUUCCCUAUUUUCAGAGUAAAGCCUUGGGAGAGCUUGCUGCAACACUGUCAAACAGAAGAAAAAUCCCUCUUAAUCAGAAGAGCAAAUGCAGCUGUUUUCAAUGGCAAAGUCAUGGAACCAACCUAAGUGUUUGCCAGUGGUUGACAGGCAGAAAAUGUGGUGGGCUGGACAUGGUGGCCUAUGCCUGCAAUCCCAACACUUUGAGAGGCUGAGUCAGGAGGAUUGCUUGAGGCCAAUACCAUCCUGGGCAACAUAAUGAUAAAAAUAAAAAUAAAAAAUUAGCCAGGUGUGGUGGCAUGCACCUGUAGUCCCACCUACUAGGGAGGCUGAGGUGGGAGGAGCACUUGAACCCAGGAAGUGGAGGCUGCAGUGAGCUGUGAUGGUGCUAUGAUGGCUGGUGGAGUGGGACCCUGUCUCAAAAAAGAAAAAAAAAUGUGGCAGAUCUAUAACAUGGAAUAUUACAUAGCCAUAAAAAGGAUGAAAUCAUGUCCUUUGCAGCAACAUGGAUGGAGCUGGAGGCAAUUAUCCUAGGUGAACUAAACAGAAAAUCAAAUACUGCAUGUUCUCACUUAUAAGUGGGAUCUAAACAAAGGUUACACAUGGACAUAAACAUGGAGAGAAUAGAUUUUGGGGAUUCCUAAUAUGGGGAGGGUGGGAUGGGGGUGAAGGUUGAAAAAUUACCUAUUGGGUACAAUGUCUGGUAUUUAGGUGAUAGGUCCACUAGAAGCCCAACCCACACCAUUAUGCAUGUAAUACCCUUGUAACAAACAUGCACAUGUACCCCCAAAUCUAAAAAAAAAAUCAAGUGAAGCACAAGCAAGGAACAGCUGCAAGGAAAUCAAAGUUCCUUAUGUGCAAGCCACACUUUUAUUGGGUGCUCCCACUUUGCCUCUGUGAGUCCCUAGAGAGGUCCAGUGUUCCUCUUGGGGGAUUCACCCAAUUAACCAUGUGCGUGUAGACAAGGGAAUUUCCCUGGAGGCAGGGAAGUCCAGGUUGCUACUUGUCUAAUAGCUAAAAUGUAUUGAAUUUUUAUUAUGAGCCAGGUAUGAUUUUGACUAUUUUAUAUGCAAUAACUAAUUUCGUUCUCAUGCCAACACUGGGAGGUAGAUGCUAUCAAUAUUCCCAUUUACUAACAAGAAAAUUAAAGCAAAGGGAAGUAACAUGCCCGAGUUCUUCUAGCUGCUGAGUAGAGGAUCCUGGAUUCAAAUUCACGUGACCUGACUCCAGAGUUUGUGCUUUUAACCAUUACUUUAUGCUGCAUCUAACCCUGUUAUUUUAACUUACAAUGACUGAAAAAGAAGGCAAAUAAGCUCAUUUAAUUAUCAGAAAGGACUUAAUGCUCAUCAUUGCUAGUCAGGAAUAGAUUGAGAAUGUAGAGGCUGCUGCCAGCAUCUCUUUGUUCUGUGCAUUACCUGUCAGGCUGAGUUUGCCUUUUGUAGACACAAGGAAAUUCCCUUUAUCUUGAUUUCCAUCCCUCUAUUAUUUUCUAACAAGGGCUCCAGCCUUUAUCUGCACCUGCUCCUUUUUAUCUGUCUUGAUAAGACCCAUUUUCCCCGAGUUCUCGCAUUUUUCAGAGCAGGGUACCCAAAGACCAUGAAACCUCUAUGGCUAAUAUUGGUCAACUCUCAUAGGAUAACUUUCAUGUAUUAUACUAAUUAUCUUCUUCCCGCUAGGAAAGAAGUUGAAGAGGAGGAACAAUGGAAAUGAAGGGGUUAGGGGAUAGGAUCUUGCCCCAAUAGGAUGGGAUAAAGGGGCUGUGUGAUUAGGUAGAGCCAUGGGUUCUAUACUUCAAGACCAGAAUCUCAGGCUGGGAUUCUAUGAGUAUUUCCUAUAAGAAAUGCUAUAGAGGCCAGGUGCAGUGGCUCAUGCGUGUAAUCCCAGCACUUUGGGAGGCCGAGGCGAGUGGAUCACCUGAGGUCAGGAGUUUGAAACCAGCCUGGCCAACAUGAUGAAACCUCGUCUCUAUGAAAAAUACAAAAAUUAGCUGGAUGUGGCGGUGCUUGCCUGUAAUCCCAGCUACUCGGGAGGCUGAGGCAGCAGAAUCGCUUGAACCCAGGAGGCGGAGGUUGCAGUGAGCUGAAAUCGCGCCAUUGCACUCCAGCCUGGGCAACAGAGCAAGAUUCCAUCAAAAAAAAAAAAAAAAAAAAAAAAAGCCAUAGAGACUUGGAGUGGCUUAGAAACAGAAAAUGGCAAAUAGCGACCUUGGCCAGAUGUGCCUGGAUUUGAGUCUGUGAACUGCCCAUUUUCCACUGUUGGCCCAGGACUGAAACAAGCAUGUGUAAAAGGGGCUGACCGGUUAUUUCCAAGUUAAGUAAACUUCUCCCUCUUGUCGCUCAGCACAUGAGUUCGUAUGGGAGGUUGAGUAUCAUUCGUGAAAUCCAUAUCCUGAUGUUGGAAUCCCCGAUUUUUUUCUCUUAUGAACACUGUCAGAUGGUGCCAGGCUGUCCCUCCAGCCAUCUGGUUUGGUUUGGGGGUCAGAGGUCUGGCAGUGUCUUCAUGUAUGUGGCUGAUUCUGUGCAUGUCUUGGGAGUUUGGGUAGGUGUAAGCAAGUAGGCAAUUAACUACCCAAAUCAGGAGGUCUGAGAAUGGGCUAGUGGACAGAGCAGGAGCAUUGCUAUCUUGGACAAACCCCACCAUUUUAAAUUCCCCUUGAUUAAAAAAAACCUGCCUAAAUCCAGCCCCCAAACAUCAGCCUAAUGGCUAAUGUUAGCAUAACCAGAAACAUUCCAACCCUAAGAUAAACGCCACUCCAACCAGAAACAUGCCGACCCCAAGAUAGCUUCACCUCCAACCAGAGACUUUCCAACCCCAUGAUAAACUUUCCCUCACAUCGAAACAUUGCGAACCUACGAUAAGCUCCCCACUUCCUAUAUCCUUAAACAUCUUUAGUCUGUAAGAGAGAGUGCCCCCGAUCAAAACUGGUCAGAAACCCCUCAGGUUUAUUCUCCAAAAGAAACUGACUUUGAAUGUUAAGCUGCUUUUCAUGUUUCUUUGCUCUUUAACUCUUACACUAGUGGGUCAUUUCCCAAGUGUGAUGCUAUCUACACUAGUUUACCAUGGUUGCUGAGAAGAUAAAAUAUAUGCCUGGACCUGUUGUUAGUCUACUAGGUUGCUGUAAGGAGAGUCUUCCAAGAAUGAGGCAAGAUAAAAAAGCAGAGGGUGCCACAGAGUUUGAAGUCAUUAUUUGAGCUCCUAGAUGCAACUGCACCUGAAACUAGACCCCUGUCUCUAGGUUUUUGAGCCAAUAUAUUCCUUUGCUUUGCUUAAGCCACUUUGAAUUCAAUUUCUGUCACUUGCAACCCACACAGUUCUGACUGAUAUACAAAAUAAACAUAUUACAUGUUAUCUUCUGUGACUCAGAAAUUAUUAUCCAUUUUUACAGAUGAGGAGUUGGAGUUUUAAAGGUGCAGGUAACUUGCAGUGAAAAGCUAAGGUCUGGCACAAGGUUGAUCUUGAAUCUGAAGAAGAAAUGGUUCAAAGUCUCCUUUAGAGAUGCUACCUUCCUGCUGCUCACUUCCAGAAUUUAGUCAGGGAAUUAUUGGGCUGACUUGAGUUGUUGUGUAUACAGUCUGUGAACUUGCAGUUUAUGGUAUUUUAUAAUUUUGUUUUCCCUGCCGUUCUGCUAAUGCAGCUUUGUGAGCAAACAUUGCCUGUGAUUUAAAUCCACCACCGUAAUGAAACGCACACACACACAUGCACACACACUUCCUUGGAACAGUCCACAGCUCUCUGAUUAAUCACAUGUGUACAGUACAGUGUUUACAGGAAAUCAGCAGGUGGCAAUUAGCAUCUUGGAAAUUAUCUGGGAAACACAACUGGAGCUGCCACUUCAGGAUGGAAAUGUGGCAACAACCGGCAAAGUGACAAACCCCUUGGAGUUGGAAAUGAAUGGGGCUGAAAGCGCUGCCAGGCACACAACAGCUGGUGGGGGCAGCCCGGUGUGGACUGCAGACUGCCUGCUAGCUUCUUCCUUUUCUUCCCAACGCAUACAAGAUUUUAGAGACGGGAU